rnacentral:rRNA from 1 species
UACGAGGGGUGCAAGCGUUGCUCGGAAUUAUUGGGCGUAAAGGGUAGGUAGGUGGUCUCAUUUGUCUGGGGUGAAAGCCUUGAGCUUAACUCAAGAAGUGCCCCAGAAACGGUGAGACUGGAGUCUUGGAGAGGGUCGUGGAAUUCCCGGUGUAGCGGUGAAAUGCGUAGAGAUCGGGAGGAACACCAGUGGCGAAGGCGACUUUCUGGUCUGCAACUGACACUGAGGCGCGAAAGCGUGGGGAGCGAACAGG